CCGGCCAGUGAACCCGGAAGUACUGCGGAGUCCCGCGUGGGUCGUACAUGGCGGGGCCGCUCGGCAACCUUGGGGUACCCCCGGCCCCGACACCGCCCCGGGCACCUCCGGGCCCGCCCGUCGAUCGGUUCUGACACCGCACUCCGGUCCCCCGCCCUCUCGCAGUCUCUCUGCAAUAUGAUUUUCCUGUCUCCAGUUUCCAGACAGUGUUUCCAGCACAAGGACAAACACUCCCAAAGGUUGGUUUUCCCUUCUGACUUCUGCCCAACAGGCAUCUCUGUUUCAUUAUCCUGCAUUUUAAAGUACUGAAGUAAAAGUUUGUAUUUCUUUGUC